rnacentral:rRNA from 1 species
AUGAACGCUGGCGGCGUGCCUAAUACAUGCCAGUCGAGCGAACGGACGAGAAGCUUGCUUCUCUGAUGUUAGCGGCGGACGGGUGAGUAACACGUGGAUAACCUACCUAUAAGACUGGGAUAACUUCGGGAAACCGGAGCUAAUACCGGAUAAUAUUUUGAACCGCAUGGUUCAAAAGUGAAAGACGGUCUUGCUGUCACUUAUAGAUGGAUCCGCGCUGCAUUAGCUAGUUGGUAAGGUAACGGCUUACCAAGGCAACGAUGCAUAGCCGACCUGAGUGGGUGAUCGGCCACACUGGAACUGAGACACGGUCCAGACUCCUACGGGAGGCAGCAGUAGGGAAUCUUCCGCAAUGGGCGAAAGCCUGACGGAGCAACGCCGCGUGAGUGAUGAAGGUCUUCGGAUCGUAAAACUCUGUUAUUAGGGAAGAACAUAUGUGUAAGUAACUGUGCACAUCUUGACGGUACCUAAUCAGAAAGCCACGGCUAACUACGUG